CUCCCCUCAGGAUGGCAUCUGGAGAGUUUCCAGUACUCUACCAGUCUCGAUUACGGGAGGGAGAGUAAAGCAGAGGCCUGUCCAUUACAUUCCUAGCUUGGGCAGUGGCUAGUGAGUGGAAGGUAACCUGCUACAAGU